UUACGAGAUUAACUUUCAUGUUUAAAUAGUUUUUGAAUAGUAAAGUCUUUGCAAAUAUAUAAAACACGAGUCAAUUUAUUUAUUAUAAGAAUUUCAUUAUACGAGUAAGUAAUAAGGACAGUAUUUACUUCGCUAUUAUUCCCUCGUGACAAAAAAAAAAAAAAAUGAAAGAAAGAAAUAAAAUAGUGAUGAAUGAGUAAUGAAACGUAUUUUUAAAGAUACUAAAUAGAAAGUUAAAAAGGAAAGCUUUAAAUCCUAUGACACCCUGGACGAUCUAGAAAACGAACUUUCGAGAUAUUGCCACUCGAUGAAAGUUCUCCCUCCCCCUCUCUCUUUAUCUAUCUUUCUUUUUCGGUCCAAUGGAUUUUCUAUGUCAAGUGAAACGAGUUUUGCGUCUUAUCGUGAGUUUCCGAGCUUACAGCUUCUUCACGGUGAUCCUUCGAGAUAACGUAAGAUCCGUUUACCAGCCUUCUUCCAGUCCUUUUCUUUCUUUCUUUCUUUCUUUCUUUCUUUCCUUCUUUUUUUCUUUCUUCUUUUCUAUCUUUCUUUUCUUUUCUUUUUUAAAUGCAUUCACGCUUGUAUGUACUCGAUCGAUCUUCGUUUUGCUUUGGGGAGCAACGAAAUGUUUGUAACGUUGCGGAAAAGUUCGACAAGUUCGUCUUAUCGUAUAUAAAAUCCCACGAUAGAUUCUCUCCUUUUCCAAUUCCAUCAAAUUGAUAGAAACUAAGUCGGAUGAUUUUAUCAGACUUUAUUAAAACGGAAGACUAUUUUACUUUUUACUCCACCACUUCUCCCUCAUUGAAAAGUUAAUGAGAUCCGAUCAAAGACGACUCAAUUUAACUGCCUCGAAUAAUCUGACCGGUCGUCGUUGUAAAAAGAUUUCAUUCGAUCUUAUUCGCUACGUGUUCAUCAUUAUCAGUAUUGAUUAAUAAAGAAUUCCCCUGAUAGCUCGAAUAAAAUUAUUAGCGAUUCUUUAGAUGAGAAGAUCAUAAAAAGUGUCGCGCAUUAUUCGUAAUAUUACCCUCGAGGGAUUUGGCGACAUAACAAAGAGAAGUCUUAAAGAGAGGACUGUAAAUUAAUAUAGAACAUUUAUUUGUUCUAGAGAUAAAUGGAUAGACAGAUAAAGUAUCUAAAUAACAGUUCGUCUACAUACAUAAAAUGUGGAUAAUAAUAAAUCGUGAUAGUAAAGAUUAGAUAAGCAGAAUAAAAAAUUGACAAAUGAAACAGUGUAAAAUAGGGAGCAACACGAAACAGAGAGAGGAAGAAAGAGAGAGAGAGAGAGAGAGAGAGAGAGAGAAAGAGAGAGAGAGAGAAAAAGAAAGUAGAUAAAACAUUUGAUCAGAAAAUAAAAAUAUAUCCUGUUGAAAGCUCGAACGUUUCCAUUUAGUUAAAUUGCUCAGCGACGCGUUAAAAUAUUCGUCGGUGGAAACGUUAACAUUGGUAUAUAAAUUAAUGGAGGUCGAUUAGGAAUGAAUAUCAGACUCUGGGAUUUGACGCAAACAAAAUACGAAUCGGUUGAUAUGACAAUAAUCAAUUCCGCGUGACGGUGAGCAUAGCGGCGUAACGUCGACACGCUGCCAGUCGUUUAUUAAGGUUAAGCGAUCUGUAUUAAUAAAGUACGAUUAAGGAAGACGCGUAGAGCAACAUAUGCCGUCGCUGGGUGCUGUUAUUAUUGUUUCUCUGCUGUAUGUCUCUGCGUUCUUUUACUUUUAUGAAAGAAAUAAAUACGAAGACAGAAAAUGAAGAAAAUUCGGUGGUCUGAAAAGUUUCCGAACUCAACAUGAAGAUCGAAACACUCAUCAACAAUUUCGCGCAUCUUUUGAAAGGCAAUACACCUACGCAAAUCAAAGACGACUUGGAUGCUGUGUACGGGGACUCCAUCAUUUAUCAUCGUGAAAUUUUGGGCAGCUGAAUUUAAACGUGGCCGUGACCAACUUGGGAGACGAUGAAUGUUCGAGACAUCCAAAAACUACAAUCACUGACGAUAACAUCGCUCAAGUUCACCAAAUGGUGCUAGAUAACUGUCGAAUUAAAGUGAGAGAGAUAGCAGAGAUUAUGAAUAUGUCCAAAGAACAUGUUUGUCACAUAUUGAACCAAGAUUUAGGAAUGAGAAAGUACGUUGAUUGUCACAUUUGCUCACGUUAGACCAAAAACGUUUUCGAAUGAACAUUUCCAACGCUCUGUUGGUGCAGUUUAGGCAUAAUAAUAAAUCAGAAUUUUGGAGCCGAUUAAUUACUGUAGAUGAAACUUAGAUACAUCAUUAUAACCCAGAAACAAAAAUACAGUUAAAACAGUGGAUUGCGAAGAGGGAAUCGGCUCCAAAAAAACAAAAACUGUUUUUUUUCGACUGAGAAAAUGAUGGCGACUGUUUUUUGGGGUAGUCAAGAGUUAUCUUAAUCGAUUAUUUUAAAAAAAGUAAAACUAUUACAGGAGCAUAUUACGCAUUAUUACUUGACAAGCUGAAGGCAGAAAUUGCAGAAGAACAGCCACAUUUGCAGAAAAAAAAAAUUUUGUUCCACCGAAACAAUACCAUCUUACACCUCAGUAUUUGGCAUGGCGAAAAUCCACGAAUUACGGUUUGAAAUGCUUGGUCAUAUUCCUUACUCACCAGAUCUAGUCCCAAGCGAUUUUUUUUUGUUCCCUAAGCUAAAAGUUGCGCUUGGAGGACAGAAAUUUUCAUCAAAUGAAGAGGCCAUCACCUUCGUAAACGAUUAUGUUGUAGAGAAAAAAGCCGAGUACUAUUCGGACAGAUUAAAGAGAUGAGAGUAUCGCUGGGAGCAUCGCUGGGAGCAUCGCUGGGAGCAAUGUGUAAACUUACAAGGAGACUAUGUUAAAAAAUAAAAAUAAAUUUGAAGAAAAAAUA